rnacentral:rRNA from 1 species
UUGCAGGAGCAAGGUGUACGGAAAAUUUGUUGGAACCAAGAUACUCAUCUUGAAUUUAGUGUUUUAUUGCAUCAACAUAACAAUUUAUUGUUUUAUUGCAGGUACUCAAUAGAGUUCUUUUGCUGCAUUCAGAAUCAAGAUCUAUGUAGUACAUGCCUAACGUAUUGGGUACUGGCUACUUCCCCUUUCUUCCUCUGCCAUCUUCCCAGCAGCCAUGAUUCUCAUACCACUGCUCAUUGCAAGGUUCCCAGUCUGCCUUCCCUCCCAACUCUCACAGGAACGCUGACUGGCAGCGCACAUGCC